CCCCAUCGUCCUUGUGUGUAUCUGUGUUCAAUGGUUGAUCGUUCAUCUUAUUUUAAAUUUUUUUUAUAAUUAAUGUUUUUAUUAUUAUUAGAUGAUAAAAUAUGAAUAGUAUUUUAUGUGUGAUUUAUUUAUUUAUUUUUUUAUAAAUUUUUCGAUUAAGACGGAUAAUCAAAUUAAUGUUGGAUGCAGAAACUUGUAAAUAAACUUAUU
rnacentral:pre_miRNA from 1 species